UCGAACGGUGAAGGAGAGCUUGCUCUCCGGAUCAGUGGCGAACGGGUGAGUAACACGUGAGCAACCUGCCCCGGACUCUGGGAUAACAGUUGGAAACAGCUGCUAAUACCGGAUACGAGCUGCGAAGGCAUCUUCAGCAGCUGGAAAGAACUUCGGUCCGGGAUGGGCUCGCGGCCUAUCAGCUAGUUGGUGAGGUAAUAGCUCACCAAGGCGUCGACGGGUAGCCGGCCUGAGAGGGUGACCGGCCACACUGGGACUGAGACACGGCCCAGACUCCUACGGGAGGCAGCAGUGGGGAAUAUUGCACAAUGGGCGAAAGCCUGAUGCAGCAACGCCGCGUGAGGGACGACGGCCUUCGGGUUGUAAACCUCUUUUAGCAGGGAAGAAGCGAAAGUGACGGUACCUGCAGAAAAAGCACCGGCUAACUACGUGCCAGCAGCCGCGGUAAUACGUAGGGUGCAAGCGUUAUCCGGAAUUAUUGGGCGUAAAGAGCUCGUAGGCGGUUUGUCGCGUCUGCUGUGAAAACUGGAGGCUCAACCUCCAGCCUGCAGUGGGUACGGGCAGACUAGAGUGCGGUAGGGGAGAUUGGAAUUCCUGGUGUAGCGGUGGAAUGCGCAGAUAUCAGGAGGAACACCGAUGGCGAAGGCAGAUCUCUGGGCCGUAACUGACGCUGAGGAGCGAAAGGGUGGGGAGCAACAGGCUUAGAUACCCUGGUAGUCCACCCCGUAAACGUUGGGAACUAGUUGUGGGGUCCAUUCCACGGAUUCCGUGACGCAGCUGACGCAUUAAGUUCCCCGCCUGGG
rnacentral:rRNA from 1 species